CAGCGAUGCCGCGUGAGUGAAGAAGGCCUUUGGGUUGUAAAGCUCUUUCGUCGGGGAAGAAAAUGACUGUACCCGAAUAAGAAGGUCCGGCUAACUUCGUGCCAGCAGCCGCGGUAAUACGAAGGGACCUAGCGUAGUUCGGAAUUACUGGGCUUAAAGAGUUCGUAGGUGGUUAAAAAAGUUGGUGGUGAAAUCCCAGAGCUUAACUCUGGAACUGCCAUCAAAACUUUUUAGCUAGAGUAUGAUAGAGGAAAGCAGAAUUUCUAGUGUAGAGGUGAAAUUCGUAGAUAUUAGAAAGAAUACCAAUUGCGAAGGCAGCUUUCUGGAUCAUUACUGACACUGAGGAACGAAAGCAUGGGUAGCGAAGAGGAUUAGAUACCCUCGUAGUCCAUGCCGUAAACGAUGUGUGUUAGACGUUGGAAAUUUAUUUUCAGUGUCGCAGCGAAAGCAAUAAACACACCGCCUGGGGAGUACGACCGCA
rnacentral:rRNA from 1 species